GCGAGGGGCUAGAGAGGAAGGGCUGGAGGAGAGGGGCUACAGGAGAGGGGUUAGAGGAGAGGGGCUGGAGGGAGAGGGGUUAGAGAAGACGGGCUGGAGGAGAGGGGCUAGAGGAGAGGGGUUGGAGAAGAGGGGCUAGAGGAGAGGGGCUAGAGGAGAGGGGUUAGAGGAGAGGGGCUAGAGGAGAGGGGUUAGAGAAGAGGGGUUGGAGAAGAGGGGCUGGAGAAGAGGGGCUAGAGGAGAGGGGUUGGAGAAGAGGGGCUGGAGGAGAGGGGCUAGAGGAGAGUGGUUCGAGAAGAGGGGCUGGAAGAGAGGGGCUAGAGGAGAGGGGCUAGAGAAGAGGGGCUUGAGAAGAGGGGCUAGAGGAGAGGGGCUAGAGGAGAGGGGCUAGAAGAAAGAGGCUAGAGGGGUUAGAGGAGAGGGGCUAGAGAAGAGGGGUUAGAGGAGAGAGGCUAGAGGAGAUGGGUUAGAGGAGAGGGGCUAGAGGAAAGGGGCUAGAGGGGUUAGAGGAGAGGGGCUAGAGGAAAGGGGCUAGAGGGGUUAGAGGAGAGGGGCUAGAGAAGAGGGGUUAGAGGGAAGAGGCUAGAGGAGAUGGGUUAGAGGAGAGGGGCUAGAGGAGAGGGGUUAGAGAAGAGGGGCUGGAGGAGAGGGACUCAAGGAGAGGGGCUAGAGGAGAGGGACUCGAGGAGAGGGACUCGAGGAGAGGGGCUAGAGGAGAGGGGCUAGAGAAGAUGGUGCUAGAGGAGAGGGGAUCGAGGAGAGGGGCUAGAGGAGAGGGGCUAGAGGAGAGGGGUUAGAGAAGUCGGGUUAGAGAAGAGGGGCUAGAGGAGAGGGGCUGGAGGAGAGGGGCUAGAGGAGAGGGGCUAGAGGAGAGGGGCUGGAGGAGAGGGGUUAGAGAAGAGGGGCUAGAGGAAAGGGGCUAGAGGGGAUAGAGGAGAGGGGCUAGAGAAGAGGGGUUAGAGGAGAGGGGCUAGAGGAGAGGGGCUGGAAGAGAGGGGCUGGAGGAGAGGGCUAGAGGAGAGGGGCUGGAGGAGAGGGCUAGAGGAGAGGGGCUAGAGGGGUUAGAGAAGAGGGGCUAGAGAAGAGGGGUUAGAGGAGAGGGGCUAGAGGAGAUGGGUUAGAGGAGAGGAGCUAGAGGAGAGGGGUUAGCGGAGAGGGGCUAGAGGAGAGGGGCUAGAGGGGUUAGAGGAGAGGGGUGGAGGGGUUAGAGGAGAGGGGCUAGAGGGGUUAGAGGAGAGGGGCUAGAGGAGAGGGGUUAGAGGAGAGAGGCUAGAGGAGAUGGGUUAGAGGAGAGGGGCUAGAGGAGAGGGACUAGAGGAGAAGGGCUGGAGGAGAGGGACUAGAGGAGAGGGGCUAGAGGAGAGGGGCUGGAGGAGAGGGACUAGAGGAGAGGGGCUAGAGGAGAAGGGCUGGAGGAGAGGGAAUGGAGGAGAGGGGCUAGAGGAGAGGGACUAGAGGAGAGGGG
ensembl:lncRNA